UCCUUCGGGAGCACCGGCGGACUGCUCAGUAACACGUGGACAACCUACCCUCGGGUGGGGGAUAACCUCGGGAAACUGAGGCUAAUACCCCAUAGGCCUCGGAUACUGGAAGGUUCCGAGACCGAAAGCUCCGGCGCCCGAGGAUGGGUCUGCGGCCUAUCAGGUAGUUGGUGGUGUAAAGGACCACCAAGCCUACGACGGGUACGGGCCCUGAGAGGGGGAGCCCGGAGAUGGACUCUGAGACACGAGUCCAGGCCCUACGGGGCGCAGCAGGCGCGAAACCUUCGCAAUGCGCGAAAGCGCGACGAGGGGAGCCCGAGUGCCCUUCCUUUCGGGAGGGCUUUUCUGGAGCCUAAAAAGCUCCAGGAAUAAGGGCUGGGCAAGACGGGUGCCAGCCGCCGCGGUAAUACCCGCAGCUCGAGUGGUGGCCACUAUUAUUGAGCCUAAAGCGUCCGUAGCCGGACCCGUAAAUCCCUGGGUAAAUCCUGGCGCUCAACGUCAGGAAUUCCGGGGAGACUGCGGGUCUUGGGACCGGGAGAGGCCGGAGGUACUCCCGGGGUAGGGGUAAAAUCCUG
rnacentral:rRNA from 1 species